rnacentral:rRNA from 1 species
UACGAAGGGGGCUAGCGUUGUUCGGAAUCACUGGGCGUAAAGCGCACGUAGGCGGAUGUGUCAGUCAGGGGGUGAAAUCCCGGAGCUCAACUUCGGAACUGCCUCUGAUACAGCACGUCUUGAGUCCGGAAGAGGUGGGUGGAAUUCCUAGUGUAGAGGUGAAAUUCGUAGAUAUUAGGAAGAACACCGGUGGCGAAGGCGGCCCACUGGUCCGGUACUGACGCUGAGGCUGCGGAAGCGUGGGGAGCAAACAGG